UAAAAAAAUCUCUUGUUAUUAAAUACCAAGACGAGUUUUGUUAAUACUUUAUCAUAUCCACUGUUUGUGGUAUUACAGGAAGAUUUCGUGUGAGUUUGGGAACGGCGAAAGAGAAAAAAAUGGAUGUGAUAGAGGGUUCUCGGCAUCUCAGGGAACCCGGUAUGAGCAGAAGAAAAAAGUGAAAUUUGAAACCGAUAAAGUAUGUUGCGCCUCACCUAAAACCUCUACUUAUUCAAGAUUCAUACCAACAAAAACAUGUAUUUUAAGCUUUCAAAAAGGCAAAAGAUGCAAAACCAUAUUUCAACUUGUAUCGUUUACAACUGGUUUAAUAAAAACGUUGAAAGUA